GACGAACGCUGGCGGCGUGCUUAACACAUGCAAGUCGAACGGAAAGGCCCCCACUUUUUUGGUGGGGGUGCUCGAGUGGCGAACGGGUGAGUAACACGUGGGUGAUCUGCCCUGUACUUCGGGAUAAGCUUGGGAAACUGGGUCUAAUACCGGAUAGGACCAUGGUUUAGUGUCUCAUGGUGGAAAAAUUAUUGUUUUGGUGCAGGAUGAGCUCGCGGCCUAUCAGCUUGUUGGUGGGGUAAUGGCCUACCAAGGCGUCCACGGGUAGCCGGCCUGAGAGGGUGGACGGCCACAUUGGGACUGAGAUACGGCCCAGACUCCUACGGGAGGCAGCAGUGGGGAAUAUUGCACAAUGGGCGCAAGCCUGAUGCAGCGACGCCGCGUGGGGGAUGACGGCCUUCGAGUUGUAAACUCCUUUUGUUAGGGACGAAGCCA
rnacentral:rRNA from 1 species